rnacentral:rRNA from 1 species
AUUGAACGCUGGCGGCAGGCCUAACACAUGCAAGUCGAACGGUAACAGGAAGCAGCUUGCUGCUUUGCUGACGAGUGGCGGACGGGUGAGUAAUGUCUGGGAAACUGCCUGAUGGAGGGGGAUAACUACUGGAAACGGUAGCUAAUACCGCAUAACGUCGCAAGACCAAAGAGGGGGACCUUAGGGCCUCUUGCCAUCGGAUGUGCCCAGAUGGGAUUAGCUAGUAGGUGGGGUAACGGCUCACCUAGGCGGCGAUCCCUAGCUGGUCUGAGAGGAUGACCAGCCACACUGGAACUGAGACACGGUCCAGACUCCUACGGGAGGCAGCAGUGGGGAAUAUUGCACACUGGGCGCAAGCCUGAUGCAGCCAUGCCGCGUGUAUGAAGAAGGCCUUCGGGUUGUAAAGUACUUUCAGCGGGGAGGAAGGGAGUAAAGUUAAUACCUUUGCUCAUUGACGUUACCCGCAGAAGAAGCACCGGCUAACUCCGU